rnacentral:rRNA from 1 species
GAUCUGGCUCAGGACGAACGCUGGCGGCGUGCCUAAUACAUGCAAGUAGAACGCUGAAGGAGGAGCUUGCUUCUCUGGAUGAGUUGCGAACGGGUGAGUAACGCGUAGGCAACCUGCCUGGUAGCGGGGGAUAACUAUUGGAAACGAUAGCUAAUACCGCAUAAUAGUAGAUGUUGCAUGACAUUUGCUUAAAAGGUGCAAUUGCAUCACUACCAGAUGG